rnacentral:rRNA from 1 species
UACAGAGGUCCCAAGCGUUGUUCGGAUUCACUGGGCGUAAAGGGUGCGUAGGCGGUCGGGUAAGUCUGAUGUGAAAUCUCACAGCUUAACUGUGAAACUGCAUUGGAUACUAUCCGGCUCGAGGAAUGGAGGGGAGACUGGAAUACUUGGUGUAGCAGUGAAAUGCGUAGAUAUCAAGUGGAACACCAGUGGCGAAGGCGAGUCUCUGGACAUUUCCUGACGCUGAGGCACGAAAGCCAGGGGAGCAAAACGGG